GAUGAACGCUGGCGGCGUGCCUAAUACAUGCAAGUCGAGCGAACAGACGAGGAGCUUGCUCCUCUGACGUUAGCGGCGGACGGGUGAGUAACACGUGGAUAACCUACCUAUAAGACUGGGAUAACUUCGGGAAACCGGAGCUAAUACCGGAUAAUAUAUUUAACCGCAUGGUUCAAUAGUGAACGACGGUUUUGCUGUCACUUAUAGAUGGAUCCUCGCCGCAUUAGCUAGUUGGUAAGGUAACGGCUUACCAAGGCGACGAUGCGUAGCCGACCUGAGAGGGUGAUCGGACACACUGGAACUGAGACACGGUCCAGACUCCUACGGGAGGCAGCAGUAGGGAAUCUUCCGCAGUGGGCGAAAGCCUGACGGAGAAACGCCGCGUGAGUGAUGAAGGUCUUCGGAUCGUAAAACUCUGUUAUUAGGGAAGAACAAAUGUGUAAGUAACUAUGCACGUCUUGACGGUACCUAAUCAGAAAGCCACGGCUAACUACGUG
rnacentral:rRNA from 1 species